CCAAUUGGCAAUCCUAUGAUCAGGAACAUUUAGGAUGUGUGUCUACGAAAGAAUGGUCUCAUGAAUCUAACUUCAUUAGAUUACAUUCUCCCAAUCACAUAUUCCUUGGACUUUAUCGUUUUAAGCAUAUAACAUUUAUAUGAGACGGCUCAAACAAUAAUCUUUGCCUUUUAUAGUUAAACUAGAUUAGUUUAACAUGUGAAAUGUCCGUAAAGUAUCAUCAUAUGAUUGGAUUUAGGGCACAUUUCCAACAAUCUCCCACUUGCACUAGAGCCAAUCAGCUUGGUCAUCAGUGAUGAUACCUCUUAUGUAGUCAUUUCAUAAAUGGCUGAGUAGUAGGCCUAGGCAAUGGAUAUCUAUAUGUUAUCCAUAGAAGCAA
rnacentral:lncRNA from 1 species